GAUGAACGCUGGCGGCGUGCCUAAUACAUGCCAGUCGAGCGAACAGACGAGGAGCUUGCUCCUCUGACGUUAGCGGCGGACGGGUGAGUAACACGUGGAUAACCUACCUAUAAGACUGGGAUAACUUCGGGAAACCGGAGCUAAUACCGGAUAACAUGUUGAACCGCAUGGUUCAACAGUGAAAGACGGUCUUGCUGUCACUUGUAGAUGGAUCCGCGCCGCAUUAGCUAGUUGGUAAGGUAACGGCUUACCAAGGCAACGAUGCGUAGCCGACCUGAGAGGGUGAUCGGCCACACUGGAACUGAGACACGGUCCAGACUCCUACGGGAGGCAGCAGUAGGGAAUCUUCCGCAAUGGGCGAAAGCCUGACGGAGCAACGCCGCGUGAGUGAAGAAGGUCUUCGGAUCGUAAAACUCUGUUAUUAGGGAAGAACAAAUGUGUAAGUAACUAUGCACGUCUUGACGGUACCUAAUCAGAAAGCCACGGCUAACUACGUG
rnacentral:rRNA from 1 species